rnacentral:rRNA from 1 species
GACGAACCGUGCGAACGUUAUUCGGAAUCACUGGGCUUAAAGCGCGUGUAGGCGGGCCGGCACGUCGGUCGCUGAAAGCCCCCGGCUCAACCGGGGAAGCGGCGCCGAUACGACCGGCCUGGAGGGGGGUAGGGGGCGCCGGAACGGCCGGUGGAGCGGUGAAAUGCGUUGAGAUCGGCCGGAACGCCCGUGGCGAAAGCGGGCGCCUGGACCCCGCCUGACGCUGAGACGCGAAAGCUAGGGGAGCAAACAGG